AUAUCCUGUAUUGCUUACCAGUUCUAUGGUAUUCGGUGUUUUUGAUGCCUACAUUCGCCUGAUGCCUGUUAUGGUGUUGGGUGGACAAUAGGUUGGCCCCAUGCUCCUAGCAUGCCCUGCAACAUUGUUUGGCUGCCUAGGUGCAUGGGGUCAUGCCCGUUCUUUCGGAUGCUGACCGUUACGUGUGUUGACGAGGGGUCUUGGCCCAUACUCGUCUGCUUUACGCACUUGUCCCUUWACACGAACGACCGCCUCACCUGUUUUGGCUCAAGGGGCUACAGCUCUUUGAGGCUCCAUGCAGGUGUUGGUGUCGUGAAGGAAUGC
rnacentral:misc_RNA from 1 species